CGUGUACUGUACCGGGACUCUGUAACUUUUAUAGCGAAAGCGUAAGCGUGAUUUCCGAACGCUUUCAUCAAGUUAUACUCUGUAAACUGCUGUCGGAUGACGCCGGCAACACCGAAUGGAGUUCGGAAGUAAAGCGAAACGUGAUUAUUUGUGGUUUCGUUUCACCACGUUUAGCGCUUAGAGUGACGUAUUAAAAGAAGAAAUUGACAAUUUUACUUGGUUUUGAGGUUGUUUUUUACCACGUUUCGUUUUUUUGGCCGUUGUUGUUUACAAAUACAUAGUGUACUUGAGUUUUCAGUUUUCACAAAUACAUUUUUUUAACAUAGAAAUAUAUAUAAUGUUAUCCAUCAACGGUUGCAAUUCAUUAAAAAGGUAAUGGAAUAAAUCUUUAUUUAAUCUAAACAACUCUAUGAAUCGUAAAUCCGGCAAACCAAAAUAAUCACUUCUAUCCCUUAAAAAUCUACCUUCUUCACGAAGCAGCCGUAACUGAUCCCUACGUUCUUGUUCGUCGAAAAUUAUUAAAUUUAUAGGCAACAUUUUAUUUAAUUUCAACAAUAAACACUUGUUUUUGUUUACCUUAUGCUUUUUUGGAAUUAUAGGUUAGUUAAAUCUGUCAAAUAUGUAGAAUCACAUCACAUUUCCACAGGACGGAGUUUAUCUAUGGCAUAGAACAAGACAAUUAUUACA
rnacentral:lncRNA from 1 species